UACGUAGGGGGCAAGCGUUGUCCGGAUUUAUUGGGCGUAAAGAGCUCGUAGGCGGUUUGGUAAGUCUGGUGUGAAAUCUCCACGCUCAACGUGGAGGGGCCACCCGAUACUGCCAUGACUGGAGUCCGGUAGAGGAGUGUGGAAUUCCCGGUGUAGCGGUGAAAUGCGCAGAUAUCGGGAGGAACACCCGUAGCGAAGGCGGGUCUCUGGGCCGAUACUGACGCUGAGGAGCGAAAGCGUGGGGAGCGAACAGG
rnacentral:rRNA from 1 species